rnacentral:lncRNA from 1 species
AAAAUAACAAACAAAUUGAAACUAAAGCUAACUAAAUACAACACUCACAUUGCAGAAGUGGAACACUCAUACAUGAAAAGUCAAACAAAAAAAUCAUAAACAGAAAACAAAAACAACGUUAGAAAAUCCAUAAAUAAGAAAGAAAAAAAAACAUAACCUAAAUAAAAUAAAAAGAAAAUAGAACCUGAAUAAAAAAACAAGCAAUCUUAAGUCUGGAUCUAGAACAUGGAUAACCAAAUUUAAAUAUAUGAUAACAAUAUAUAGAGAAAAAUAAAUUAAAAACAAAAAUUU